UCAGCACUUUGGAGAGGAAGCAGAUUGGAUUUAAGAAGAGAAAAUAUAAAGAAAGACCUUCUUUAGGAAUAAGCUUGAGAAGUCAAGAGAUUUUCAAUUAUGCUUUAAAACAGAGUUUUCUCAUCUUGGAUAAGCUGUUUGGCCUCUCGGCUGCUGUAUCCCAACUUUGCAAAAUUUCAAACACGGAUAAUCAUCAACUCACCCACUGGCUCUUGCCCUAUGUAAGAGAGCAUCACACUUAAGUAGUUAAUAAUUGUGGGUUACAGUUUACUUAUUUUCUGACGUCUGUUUGCAUUUGUGGCAAGGGUAGGCAAAGUCUUCCAUCAGGUUUGCUGUAAAUUCAAAUACCAGCCAUCCUGCCCUGGCUAGCCCAGCUGGGUCUCUGGGUAUUAACUCGGCAGACAUCUGAUAAAGUGUUCCAGCAGGAAAAGUCAUUACCCACAGCUUUGCUUGGGGGAAGGAAGCGGAGGACCUGGGCCAUUUUACAUUUUUCUCAUUUCUCCCUGUCACGUUGGGACACAAUAUCAUGCAACCUAACAGUGUGAUGAGCUGAGAUGAGACACUGGGUCUGAGCACUCGAUGUUCGAGGCUGCCAAACACAACACCCACAACAUGUUAAAUGAAGAAAGUGACUCAGUGUGCAGAGAGAGACUUCUCCCGGAGAACCCAGAAGUCCAUUUAUACUUGAGGACCCUUCUGCCUGGAGCAUACGUGAGGUAAUACAUGUUAUAUAUGUAUUCAUGUUCAUUUUACUUUGUGAAAGAAGAUACAUAUCACUUACACUGAGGAAAAAUUCAUGGAGAAAAUCAAAUGAAGAAUGAUGACAAAACUGAGGUCCAUACAGGUUAAACGGUAUUAAGUGGUCCUGGUAUCACAUAAGUCACAAGUGGCAAAGAGGGGAUUCAAACUCAGGUCUUCAUGGAAUACAAAGCUGUAAACAGAAUAAAGGUCCAUCUACUGGGCA
rnacentral:lncRNA from 1 species